rnacentral:rRNA from 1 species
UACGUAGGGGGCAAGCGUUGUCCGGAAUCACUGGGCGUAAAGGGCGCGUAGGCGGCCUGAUAAGUAGGGGGUGAAAUCUUGCGGCUUAACCGCAAGGCUGCCUUCUAAACUGUCAGGCUAGAGCACAGUAGAGGCAGGUGGAAUUCCCGGUGUAGCGGUGGAAUGCGUAGAUAUCGGGAAGAAUACCCGUGGCGAAGGCGGCCAGCUGGGCCAGAUCCGACGCUGAGGCGCGAAAGCGUGGGGAGCAAACAGG